AUAGAUGACAGUUCUGUAUUUAUUUACUUAGGCUCAUGUGUUGUUCCAUCAAACCAACUCUGAUAUAGACAUCAAAGAGUAACCUUAGAGUACAAAUUCUGAAGAUGGUGUGUUAACAGUUAGAAAACCCAAACCUUUUCUGCUUUUUUGGCUUUAACUAUGGUCUAUUAGUGUGAGGGUACUUGGAGAAAUAAGAGAAAAUCUCUGGAUGUCAAGGGAAUGGCAUAAUGUCAUGUCUAACACUACAAGCAUACAUAAUUUUGUACUUGCUGGAUUUUCUGGAAAUCAAGAGGCUCAAAUUUUACACAGCACUAUCUUCUUAUUAAUGUAUCUCUUUGUCCUGGUGGGAAAUCUUCUGAUUAUUUUUUUGAUACUGUUCAAUUGUUAUCUGCAUACCCCAAUGUAUUUCUUUUUAAUCAAUUUAGCUAUUGGUGAUCUUGGUGUCACAUCUGCUAUUAUACCCAAAUCUAUAGUUAAUACCUUCAUGAAUUCUAAAUUGAUUUUGUAUUUUGAAUGUAUGACACAAUUAUUUUUCUAUGUUUCUUUCCUAUCAUCAAAUUUAUUCUUUCUUACUAUCAUGGCCUAUGACAGAUACAUUGCCAUUUGUCACCCAUUGCAUUUUGCAUCCAUAAUGAAGUGGUCCACUUGUUUCCAAAUGGCGGGAGGGGCCUGGGUGAUUGGAUUUCUGCAUGCAGCUCUACACACAGGGAAUAUUUUUUCUAUGCCUUUCUGUUCCAAUAUUAUUAAUCAGUUCUUCUGUGAAGUUCCACAAUUAAUCAAGCUAUUUUGUUCUGAUUCUUAUCUCGAUGAAACCUGGGUUCUUGUCUUUAGUUCAUGCUUAGGAGUUGGCUGCCUCUCAUUCAUUUUGUUAACCUAUGUGCAAAUCUUUACUACUGUGAUGAGCAUGCCCUCAGUUGAGAAAAAGGAAAAGGCCUUCUCCACUUGCAUCCCCCACCUUAUUGUGGUUUCCCUAUUCAUUGGUAGUAGCCUCUUGGCUCACCUGAUACUACCUGCUAAUUCUCCAUCGAGACUGGAUCAAGUAUUUACCACACUAUAUACUAUAGUGCCUUCACUCAUGAAUCCAAUAAUCUACAGCAUGAGGAACAAAGAUGUAAAAGCUGCCUUUCUGAAAUUGCUUGGCUGAAGAUUAUUUAGCAAACAAUAUUAAUUCCCCUUUGAUGCACCAAUUUGUCUGUCAUGUUAAUUUUGAAAUUCAGCAUAAGAUAACUGAUUAGGCAUUUCCCACUGAAUGUAUAUUUUGGUUUAUUUGAUAUAUUAUAAAUAAUGGUCUGCUGCAUCUGCCAAAGUAAAAUGUUUUACAAUAUUGAGCCUCUUAUGGCUUCAAUUCUGUUGGGAUUAUGAAGAUAUCUUUCAGUAAAUUAUUUUCAUUGGUUAUAGUUUUAUAGGUGACUUCCUAAAGUCAUUUUGGAAAAUGAAAUUGUAAUCAGGAACAAAUUAAUGUAACUAAAUAAUGUUUAAGGAAAAUGGGUUUUAAAUCAGACAUCUGAUUUUAACUUUUUAUGUUUUAACUAUAUAUGUAGCUGUAAACCUCCCAGAGUUACCCUAUGGUAAAAUGGGUGACCAAUAAAUGUUAUAAAUAAAUGUUAUGUAGGGCAAUCAAAAAAUAAUCAGUUACUUUAUGGGAUAGUUGUGUGCAAAAGAUACUUGAGACUAGUGAUGUGGAAAAAGGUUUCUGACUUAACUAAAGAUUGGCAAAGAUUUAUAUUUGUUUUAAGUAUAUGUAUAUAGUCAGAGAUAGCUACCAAUAUGUACAAGUUUCCUAAGUGAUUUCAGCUCUUGAUAUCAAAAUUGAGCUUUCUUCUUAUCACUUUUUUGCUAUUUUUUAUAGGUGAUUUGUGCCCUUCUAGAAAUAGUAACUUAGUUUUCCUAUCAGGGCAGCAGUUUCUGUGGCAUAUGAUGGGAUAUCAACAAGCAAGAAAUUGCCUUGCAAUGCAAGUUGUGGCUUGCAUCAUGACACCAUUUCUGCCAUAUUGCUUUUUUUUUUUAAACCUCUCCCUGUGAACAUGCUGAAUCAAGAUCAGAGGAUUCAGCAAAGGAACGAGUACUGUAUACCUCAGAGAGAAUAAGCAGUCUUGUUCUACUGAGUGACUAGAGGAUGGACGCAUCCCUAUAAGAAUCCAGUGACAAACAUAACAUUAAGAAAAGCACUUCAGAAUCUGAGUAUGGUCUUCCUGGCCCACAUCUGACACUUGAACAGCCCACCUUGCUGACUUGUAGAGCUUUGUCAUAUUCUUUGUGUUUAACUUUUAAUAGCUAUUGAUCAAUAUAGUCAUCUCAUACAUGUUUGAAACAAGAAGUAACACAGUAAAAGGGAUGGAAACUGAAGGACUGUGAGAAAAAGAGAAUAUGAAACAUCUUCAUUUAUUCUGAGAAAUCCAAGCUCUUAGAGAUACAAUGGUCAUUAAGAUGAAACUGCAGUAAAAAUGAAUCAUUUUGCAUCCAAAAUUGAAGGAAGCGCCUCAUAUGAUACAGAAGCUGGGAUUUAAAGAAGUUAAAGUAGUCUUGACAGAUACUGAAAACAUCAUGAUAUGAUGAUCAGAUUAAUAGAGUGUAAUUCUCACAAAAGAAAGGCAAAAUGCAAAAUUGAGAAAAUGAUAUUCUAGAAAACCUGUAACCAUAUAUUUAGUACAAUCGUAUUGAAAUUUUCUAUUUUGCUCAUCCAUUAAAAAAAGGAAAAUUUGCUUUCUCUUCUCAGUAAUUAUAAUAAUGUGCUCCUGGAUAUCUUAUUGAAAUAAGAAAUUCCUUACAUAGGAUCAUCAAUAAACAUUGAUCUGGGGUGUUCCUGGAAAGACAGAACCUUGAAAAAGGAGACAAACUGAGAAGAGAUCCCUCCAAUGACAAAGUCACCUGGCUGGUAAUAUUCAUGUGGAAUUUGGAGGGCAUCAAUUGUGUUGCAGAGAAUGGGAUGCAUCUUACAUUCACUUUGGGUUAAAAACACCAGCCAUAACAUCAGCAGACAUAGAAACAAAAAGAUCAUUGUAAAUAUAAAAAUGAAUCUGUUUCCUCCAAAGUAAAAUUCAAUGUCCCACUCUAUUUCAUUAAUAUCUAAUGUUAGUUUUCUUAUACCAAUCCGUUGUCAACAAUUUUUCAUUUUCCUACUUUCUAUCCAUGGAACAAAUACAAAAAUGAAAUGAAGUGUUGGUGUUUUUC